AGUGAAUGCUUAGAGAGCAGUCUUUUACUGUAACAUGCACACUUUGAACACUAAUUUUCAUCUAUUUUUGCAUGCAUGUUAAAACUUGGAGCCAACACAGACUACCCGAUAGACUACCAGACAACUUCACCAAACCAAGUAAGUGCAAUAACCAAGUAAGUGCAAUAACCGACUCUCCAUGCAUUGUCAAUGGGGGAAAUCUAUUUUGGGCAAAAUGACGUCGGACUCAGUGCAGACUGACUCAGGGGGCUCUAAAACACUCUCCAAAAAUGUUUUGAAGCCUCUACCUGUCUCCCUUCUAUUUUUAAUAACCUAAACAUACGUCAAUUAAUUUGGAUCGGUUUUAAGUUAUUUUCUCGGCCUAGGAAGGGCCUAGAAACAUAAUUCUUGCAGAUUCAGGGUCGGACCGAGCCCAGAAAAAAGAAAGUAUGAAAAAAAAGCUAAAAAAAAACGUUUUUCAAAAGUGGUAAAAUGCUCUUAACCUAACCCUACCCUUAAUCUUAAUCUUAAUCCUAACCCUUAACCUAAUCUUAAUCCUAACCUUAACCUUUAGCCUUAUUCCCUAACCUUAACCCGAGUAGCUAUCCCUACCACUUAUCUAAAUCCUUACCUUAACCUUUAGCCUUAUUCCCUAACCUUAACCC
ensembl:lncRNA